UACAGAGGGUGCAAACGUUGUUCGGAAUUACUGGGCGUAAAGCGCGUGUAGGCUGCUUCGCAAGUCGGGUGUGAAAGCCCUGGGCUCAACCUAGGAAGUGCACUCGAAACUGCGGAGCUGGAGUCCUGGAGAGGAAGGCGGAAUUCUCGGUGUAGAGGUGAAAUUCGUAGAUAUCGAGAGGAACACCGGUGGCGAAGGCGGCCUUCUGGACAGUGACUGACGCUGAGACGCGAAAGCGUGGGGAGCAAACAGG
rnacentral:rRNA from 1 species